AACAGCAUGGCUUAGUGGAAAGAGCCUGGGUUUGGGAGUCAGAGGCCGUGGGUUCUAAUCCCGCUUCUGUCA
rnacentral:tRNA from 1 species